rnacentral:rRNA from 1 species
CCUACGGGAGGCAGCAGUGGGGAAUAUUGCACAAUGGGGGAAACCCUGAUGCAGCGACGCCGCGUGAGUGAAGAAGUAAUUCGUUAUGUAAAGCUCUAUCAGCAGGGAAGAAAAUGACGGUACCUGAGUAAGAAGCCCCGGCUAACUACGUGCCAGCAGCCGCGGUAAUACGUAGGGGGCAAGCGUUAUCCGGAUUUACUGGGUGGAAAGGGAGCGUACACGGCAGUGCAAGUCUGGAGUGAAAGGCGGGGGCUCAACCCCCGGACUGCUCUGGAAACUGUACGGCUGGAGUGCAGGAGAGGUAAGUGGAAUUCCUAGUGUAGCGGUGAAAUGCGUAGAUAUUAGGAGGAACACCAGUGGCGAAGGCGGCUUACUGGACUGUAACUGACGUUGAGGCUCGAAAGCGUGGGGAGCAAACAGGAUUAGAUACCCUUGUAGUC